UGGGGAAUAUUGGACAAUGGACGCAAGUCUGACCCAGCAACGCCGCGUGAAGGAAGAAGGCUUUCGGGUUGUAAACUUCUUUGGCAGGGGAAGAGUAGAAGACGGUACCCUGAAAACAAGCCACGGCUAACUACGUGCCAGCAGCCGCGGUAAUACGUAGGUGGCAAGCGUUGUCCGGAUUUACUGGGUGUAAAGGGCGUGUAGCCGGGUCGGCAAGUCAGAUGUGAAAUCUGGAGGCUCAACCUCCAAACUGCAUUUGAAACUGUUGAUCUUGAGUAUCGGAGAGGUAAUCGGAAUUCCUAGUGUAGCGGUGAAAUGCGUAGAUAUUAGGAAGAACACCAGUGGCGAAGGCGGAUUACUGGACGACAACUGACGGUGAGGCGCGAAAGCGUGGGGAGCAAACAG
rnacentral:rRNA from 1 species